rnacentral:misc_RNA from 1 species
CGAGGUUGUUGGUGUGAUUGGGAUAUACUUGAGACAUGGAGACAAGGUUUGCAGGGAUUUGCAAGAACACAAGUCGCCAUCUGUCAACAAUCUGACUUGUCUGGUUACCGAAACAUUAAUCUCCAAAACCCGGUAUAUUCUAAGCCGUCGUAUUCCCGCCGAUCGUCAAUCUUGUAUUUCUUAAAAUAAAAGAGGGAGUAGAUAGUGAGGGAGUAGGAAGUACAAAGGAAAGCAAUGGAAGUGCCAGAUGCUACUCAAAUAACUGAGA